UGUGCAAAGGUAGCAUAAUCAGUUGGCUUAUAAUUGAAGUCUUGUAUGAAUGUAGCUAUAGGUAAAUGCUGUCUCUGAGUUGUACAUAGAACUUACUAGGUCGGUGAAAAAGCCGACAGAAAUGAAAUAGACGAGAAGACCCUAGAAAUUUUUUGAAGUGUAUAGUGUGUAUAUUAGAUUUUGUUGGGGCGACAGGGUAACAUAAAACUUACCUUAUCAAAUGAGAACUAUUUGUGAAAACGUAAAUUACUCUAGGGAUAACAGCAUAAUUCUUGAGAGUUUGUGACCUCGAUGUUGGACUAGGAAAGGUAAUGUUCAGAAGAUACUAUUAUUGGCUCUGUUCGAGCUGUUAUUCCUACAUGAUCUGAGU
rnacentral:rRNA from 1 species